CAUGCGGCCCCGCCGGCCCGGCGCCAGCUCAGCCCGCUGCAUGACGUUUCUUGUUUCGUUACGUGCUGUUAUCGCGAAGCGUGUGCGGCUGUGCGUUGACCAGCAUGGGUAGUUUCGUCAGUUUCGUGGCCCUCGGUAGCUGUAUGUUUGUGCUCCACAAUGGUUCAGCCGUUUCACGACUCGUACCGCUCGUGCAUCGUGCAGUGGUGCAGAAAUACCUCAAAAACAAGCCCUGUAAGGUUGUUCCAGGUGCCUAAAGACAACAGAAAUUCAGUGGGCCAUGAUCUUGUACCUGCCAGCACCACUCAAGUGUCAUCAUCAGACUGGGAGAAAAGGAGAACUGCCAAAGAUGAUGUAAAGAGUAUGGUCCGCUGCAAGACAACAGGAGCCGUGGCAUUAAAGAGGGCAACCCGCAUUCCGGAACCAGCUAGAGGCAGGUACCUUCUCGCAAUAUGUCAG